rnacentral:tRNA from 3 species
GGGUCGGUGGCCGAGUCUGGCUGAAGGCGACAGUCUGUAAAACUGUUCUUUUUGCACGCAGGUACCCUUCCCUUCGGGACGCUCCGCGAACGGGAAGCAAGCUACAAAUCCUGCUCGACCCA